rnacentral:lncRNA from 1 species
GAAGGAGGGCGCGCUGCAGGCGCUGACUGGGAGUGACCCUGGGAAGCAUUUUUUGGAGAAUAUAAGUUUUUGCAGCCUGGUUUAGAUGGUGUUUCUGAGACUCUCUCUACUGAUGUUGCGUCGUUGCAGCUUCUUGCUGGCAGGAAUGGGCUGAAGACUUAGGAUGGAACUGUAGAACAUGGAGUGAAUAUUUGGAGAGCACAGGGGAAAAAAAAGACAAAAAGAUUUUCAAUUUGGUCUUGAUCAUAGUCAGUUUUUAUGAUCACUGUGAGAAUGUCUAUAGCAUCACUGUGACUACUGCUAUCCAGACUAUUGACAGCAAUCGUUUAUUUGCACUGCGACAUGUCUACCUAUAGCUGUGAAGAAUGCAGUUAGCUAGCGCAAACCUAUCCUCCACCUUACAGGCAGUGUAGAGCAGAGAAAAUCUACUUUGGCAUCAUAACAGCUAACUGUGGUUAGCUCAUCUCCUUCCUCGGGGAUUAUUUGAUAAAGGUGCUGCUGAAAGACUGGCAUCUGUAGAAGAACAGAGAAUAAGUUGUGUCUGCAGUGCUGAGGAAACAAGUCUGGAAGAAACCUUAAGAAGUCGUUUUAAAAACAGAAUCUGUUAUAACCAGAACAUUCCUGACAGUCACUUUUCUAACCAGCUGCUAAAGCUGUGUAGGGAUUGUGUGUUUUCCUUGCAUGUCUGUCCUUACCUCUGCAAAGUUUUCUUGAUGUCUUACUCAGAUCUCCAUGGCUGGAAUGUAAGUGCAUAUUUCUGUCC